rnacentral:rRNA from 1 species
GAUGAACGCUAGCUACAGGCUUAAUACAUGCAAGUCGAGGGACCGGCGCACGGGUGAGUAAUACGUAUCCAACCUGCCCUUUACUCGGGGCUAGCCUUUCGAAAGAAUGAUAAAUACUCGAUAUAAUGGUUGGGGAUGCGUGCCAUUAGGUUGUUGGUGAGGUAACGGCUCACCAAGCCUUCGAUGGAUAGGGGUGCUGCGAGGAAGGUACCCUACAUAGGAACUGCGACACGGUCCAAACUCCGAGGCGAGGCAGCAGUGAGGAAUAUUGGUCGAUGAGCGCUAGCCUGGACCAGCCAAGUAGCGUGAAGGAGGAAUGCUUAUGGGUCGUAAGCUACUUUUAUAUAAGAAUAUGUAUUAUAUGAAUAAGGAUCGGCUAACUCCGUGCCAGCAGCCGCGGUAAUUC